rnacentral:rRNA from 1 species
UACGUAGGGUGCAAGCGUUGUCCGGAAUUAUUGGGCGUAAAGAGCUCGUAGGCGGUCUGUCGCGUCGGACGUGAAAAUCCAGGGCUCAACCCUGGACCUGCGUUCGAUACGGGCAGACUAGAGUUCGGUAGGGGAGACUGGAAUUCCUGGUGUAGCGGUGAAAUGCGCAGAUAUCAGGAGGAACACCGGUGGCGAAGGCGGGUCUCUGGGCCGAUACUGACGCUGAGGCGCGAAAGCGUGGGGAGCAAACGGG